GCCGGGCUGAGUGGCGUCAGCUUGUAACAGGAAGCUUCUGCCUGGGUAGUAGGGUUGUGAGGGUUGCGGUAUGCUUCUCUUGGUCACUAUACCCAAGAUGUCGAUGGUGUGUCCGUUUCAAACCAGGAGUAGACAUUGCGGUAUUGGCGUAAGUCAGUACAACGAGGUCUCUAAGGAAGGGUGAACCGCCCCAGGCUGGUUAACAGAGCAGGGAAAAGCUCUCGCUCUUGGUAGUGGAAGGACCGCACACCAGAAUCUUGAGGUGACGAAAAGGAGCUAUCAACCGUAAUUCGAAAAACUC
rnacentral:SRP_RNA from 1 species